AGCCACAUCACAUUAAAACACUGGUUCCUGUAUGAUCACUGAAGUUAAGCAACAUCAAGCCUAGUCAGUAACUAGAUGGGUGACUAUUUGGGAAUACCAGAUGAUGUAA